rnacentral:lncRNA from 1 species
CGGCGCGGACCUCCUUGUCAAUGGGAACGCGGGGCCCGGCUGCCCGCAGGGCGGUCAGGUUGCUAGGAACAGUUAUGUAGAUCUACCAGGUGCAGAGAAGCACUCCACACCCUCACCCAGGUCCUGUAUCCCUGCAAGACUGCGUUGGAAAGUCUGAAGAGCAUCCACUCCCUCAAAGGUGAAAACCAGAAAUUGGCAGUAGAUGAUAUGCAACUAUUAAAUAUAAUGUGAAGCUUUAGUCUCAAUAGAUUUGGACAAAUAAUAAAUGAAAGUAAUUUUCAAAACUGAAGGGAAGUAAUACCAAAAAAGUCAGCAGAGUGAAAAGAACACUGGAUAGAAUGAAGAGACAAGACUUUUAGUCUCUGGCCAACUUUGGG